UCCCUGGAGGUCCAGUGGUUAAGAUUCUGCACUUCCAAUGCAGGGGGUGCAUGUUCGAUCCCUGGUCAAGGAA
rnacentral:tRNA from 1 species